rnacentral:rRNA from 1 species
AAUGAACGCUGGCGGCGCGCCUAAUACAUGCAAGUCGAGCGAGAAGACGUAGCAAUACGUUUGUAAAGCGGCGAACGGGUGAGGAAUACAUGGGUAACCUACCCUAGAGUGGGGAAUAACUAGCCGAAAGGUUAGCUAAUACCGCGUACGCUCCUUGGACUUCGGUUCAGGGAGGAAAGCGAUGCCGAGGGUAUCGCGCUCUUGGAUGGGCUCAUGUCCUAUCAGCUUGUUGGGAGGUAACGGCUCACCAAGGCUUCGACGGGUAGCUGGUCUGAGAGGACGAUCAGCCACACUGGCACUGCGACACGGGCCAGACUCCUACGGGAGGCAGCAGUAAGGAAUAUUGCGCAACGGGCGAAAGCCUGACGCAGCGACGCCGCGUGGGGGAU